rnacentral:rRNA from 1 species
UGGGGAAUAUUGCACAAUGGAGGGAACUCUGAUGCAGCGACGCCGCGUGAACGAAGAAGGCUUUCGAGUCGUAAAGUUCUUUUAUAUGGGAAGAUAAUGACGGUACCAUAAUAAAAAGCCCCGGCUAACUACGUGCCAGCAGCCGCGGUAAUACGUAGGGGGCUAGCGUUGUCCGGAAUCACUGGGCGUAAAGGGUUCGCAGGCGGAAAUGCAAGUCAGGUGUAAAAGGCAGUAGCUUAACUACUGUAAGCAUUUGAAACUGCAUAUCUUGAGAAGAGUAGAGGUAAGUGGAAUUUUUAGUGUAGCGGUGAAAUGCGUAGAUAUUAAAAAGAAUACCGGUGGCGAAGGCGACUUACUGGGCUCAUUCUGACGCUGAGGAACGAAAGCGUAGGUAGCAAACAGG